GAACAUGACAUUAAAAAGCCAUAUAUGACAAACCCAAAGAUAACAUCAUACUCAAUGGUGAAAGACUAAAAGCUUUUCCUCUCACAUCAGGGACAAGACAAG